AAUGAACGCUGGCGGCAGGCCUAACACAUGCAAGUCGAACGAAGCCUUCGGGCUUAGUGGCGGACGGGUGAGUAACGCGUGGGAACAUACCCAAAGGUACGGAAUAGCCUCGGGAAACUGGGAGUAAUACCGUAUGUGCCCUUCGGGGGAAAGAUUUAUCGCCUUUGGAUUGGCCCGCGUUGGAUUAGGUAGUUGGUGGGGUAAUGGCCUACCAAGCCGACGAUCCAUAGCUGGUUUGAGAGGAUGAUCAGCCACACUGGGACUGAGACACGGCCCAGACUCCUACGGGAGGCAGCAGUGGGGAAUCUUAGACAAUGGGCGCAAGCCUGAUCUAGCCAUGCCGCGUGAUCGAUGAAGGCCUUAGGGUUGUAAAGAUCUUUCAGUUGGGAAGAUAAUGACGGUAC
rnacentral:rRNA from 1 species